UCCGAAGGUGUUAGCCCUUUUUUUUUUAAGAAAAAAAAAACAGUAUGAGGGCCCCAAUUUUGUUUUUGGUCCGGCCCCAUUUUGUCUCUGUCACCUCUCAUCCCUUACCAAAAUUGUAAUUUUAUCUCACCAAAGUCAUAAUUUACUACCUCUCAUCCUCUUGUAUGUCCCAAAUCUCAAAUAGGAAUUGAUAAUCACUAAAUUGGAACUCUUGGCACAUCAAUCCUCCUUGACUUGGAAAAAGCUCGGGAUUUAAGGGGUAGGGGUGUUUGUCCCUUAAUGAUAUUGCUUGAUUGAAUCCAUUCCUGAUGCUGUUGGUCCUGGUGUGCCGAUUUCUUAUAAAUAACAGGUGAUAUAUUGUUAGCUAUUCAUAUUGCAUGGAAAAUAGCCAAAACUUGUGGUGGUUAUGUGGGACUUUGGUAGUUUUGAAGUUGUACGGUUUGCAAAAUUGUUUACACCAAGGGAUGUUGAUGGAAGUCCUCCUUUGGUUAUAGAUCAAUCUUUUAGCCUAAUCAGACAACAAAUUCCAUACUUCAGAAAUAAGUUUAAAUGCACUAAUAUAUUUGUUUUUAUCAGCCAACUUUCUGUACUAUUUCCUGAUUGUCGAGUAUCCAGGCUGGAUGAAGUAUGUUUUGAAAAGUUUCAACAGUGCAGUUCGUUAACUUAAUUUUUAUUUUAGAGCAGGACAUAAGUUAGAAGCUACCACUGAAAAAGCUCAUGAUUUCACUUAAUACCUGUUGUUCCCUUUUGUUUAUUGAAAUAUGCAGUUUGUUGGUUUUUGAGAACUAUUCCUUCCAUGAAUUUAAUCGCAGUUUUAAUAACACAAACUGGUUGAAAGUAUCUUUGGUUUGUGAAAAUGGCUUAUGGUGAAGUUUAGAUUUGUUUCUGUUUAAUAUGUUCAAUAUAUUGUUCUUUAACAUGAUAAUGAUGAUUACGUUGUUACAUUUGAUGGAUAUCAAUGAAAGCCCUGUGUAUGUUCUUUUCAAACCAUCUGAUGGAGGCUCGGCUGCAACACAAUGUAACUCUAGAGUCUGGACAUUUUUACCCUUUAAUGAUGGUGAUUAUGUUUCUAUGUUUUGUGAAACUUUUAUCAUUUUAUGUAGUGGCUUCUCACUUGACGGGGAUACAUAGUGAUAUAAAGAUGUUCAAUAGUAGAAUUUGUGUGCUUUACCACUAUCCGAUUGUUAUUGAGAUUCUUUGCUAUAGAAAUGGCGGGAAUACUUGAAUAAAUGGAAGAAUUGUAGGAACUCUAGAAAAAGUUUGGGUUGUUGUAUAGUGAAUGGACCAUGUAUAUGUUGAUAGAAAAUGCAUAGAACAAAAGUUUUUUUUUUUUUUUUGGAGUAAGCUGAAAUAGCAACCCACUUUUCAUAUUUAUCCAAAAUAGCAAUGUAAUUAUUAUUUUUAAUCAAAAUUAGCAUUUGUUAUUCUU